rnacentral:rRNA from 1 species
UACAGAGGUCUCAAGCGUUGUUCGGAUUCAUUGGGCGUAAAGGGUGCGUAGGCGGCGGGGCAAGUCGGAUGUGAAAUCUCAGGGCUCAACCCUGAAACUGCAUUCGAUACUGCCUUGCUCGAGGACUGGAGAGGAGAUUGGAAUUCACGGUGUAGCAGCGAAAUGCGUAGAUAUCGUGAGGAAGACCAGUGGCGAAGGCGGAUCUCUGGACAGUUCCUGACGCUGAGGCACGAAGGCCAGGGGAGCGAACGGG